UUGUGGAUAUCUCUGGAUAGGCACUUGGAUAUCGGCCCGCGCGGCCCGAGAUUUUCGUUCACCUGCGGCCGCCGCGUUUUGUGUCAGAAAUCGGGCCCCGUGAGGGGGGUACCUAUUUGUUUUGUUUCGUUUAUAGUGUUCUUUUCAAUUUAUGGAUUACUUCCGCCUAUCAAAUUAAAGAGGAAAGAAAGGCGCGUAUUAUGGCGUUUUCCACUUCGGGAUCGGUUGUGUGUGUUCGGAGUUACAAGGAGUUAAAAAUAAGCCCCUGAUCACAACCUGCCACUGUUCCAUUGGAUUUAUUGACAGCUCACCAGAAUAAAUCCUGACUUUAAUUAAAAUCCAGAAAUUGAAAUGCUUGCGGAGUUGGUCGAAUUCACAGAAAAACUUGUUUGAACAAGUUGCAAAAAAAUUGAGCACUUAAGAAAGCAUUUGUUGCAGACAAGGAAAAAAAAUUGACAUUAAUUUAACAAUAUCAAGUUGGCAGACUGGGUGAACUAAACAAUUGCCAGAAAUAAAGAAAGAAUAAAUAAGUAUCGUGACACAAUUGCGUGCUUCAAAAAACAUGUCAUAUUUCACAACUAAUUGUCUUUGAAGAAGAUGAACAUUUAAAUAAACACAAUAAAAAUAUAAUGAAAAACUUGCUGAACAAACUGAAGUAAUAAAAUUAGAAGAGACUAUUGUUUAACUUACAGGGCAAUCUCAUGAGUUAAAGAUGUAAAAGAGAAAUCAAAGAUAAAGACAGAGUAAUUGAUCAUUUACAUGACAAAUUAAAACAUGAAAGAAACAUUCUAACAAUAACAUGCAAAAUGAAUUUAAAAAA